rnacentral:rRNA from 1 species
CCUUGAAGAUCGGAGUGCUUGCACUCUGUGAAACAAGAUACAGGCUAGCGGCGGACGGGUGAGUAACACGUGGGUAACCUGCCCAAGAGAUCGGGAUAACACCUGGAAACAGAUGCUAAUACCGGAUAACAACAGAUGAUGCCUAUCAACUGUUUAAAAGAUGGUUCUGCUAUCACUCUUGGAUGGACCUGCGGUGCAUUAGCUAGUUGGUAGGGUAACGGCCUACCAAGGCGAUGAUGCAUAGCCGAGUUGAGAGACUGAUCGGCCACAUUGGGACUGAGACACGGCCCAAACUCCUACGGGAGGCAGCAGUAGGGAAUCUUCCACAAUGGACGCAAGUCUGAUGGAGCAACGCCGCGUGAGUGAAGAAGGGUUUCGGCUCGUAAAGCUCUGUUGUUGGUGAAGAAGGACAGGGGUAGUAACUGACCUUUGUUUGACGGUAAUCAAUUAGAAAGUCACGGCUAACUACGUGCCAGCAGCCGCGGUAAUACGUAGGUGGCAAGCGUUGUCCGGAUUUAUUGGGCGUAAAGCGAGUGCAGGCGGCUCGAUAAGUCUGAUGUGAAAGCCUUCGGCUCAACCGGAGAAUUGCAUCAGAAACUGUCGAGCUUGAGUACAGAAGAGGAGAGUGGAACUCCAUGUGUAGCGGUGAAAUGCGUAGAUAUAUGGAAGAACACCGGUGGCGAAGGCGGCUCUCUGGUCUGUUACUGACGCUGAGGCUCGAAAGCAUGGGUAGCGAACAGGAUUAGAUACCCUGGUAGUCCAUGCCGUANACGAUGAGUGCUAAGUGUUGG